CAGUAGCCACGGUAAUACGAGGGGGGCAAGCGUUGUUCGGAAUUAUUGGGCGUAAAGGGUGCGUAGGCGGUUUGGCAAGUCUUAUGUGAAAUCUUCGGGCUCAACCCGAAGUCUGCAUGAGAAACUGCCGGGCUUGAGUAUGGGAGAGGUGAGUGGAAUUUCCGGUGUAGCGGUGAAAUGCGUAGAUAUCGGAAGGAACACCUGUGGCGAAAGCGGCUCACUGGACCAUAACUGACGCUGAGGCACGAAAGCUAGGGGAGCAAACAGGAUUAGAUACCCGGGUAGUCCCUGUCUCUUAUAA
rnacentral:rRNA from 1 species